GCCUCCAUAGCUUAAUCCAAAGCAUGGCACUGAAGAUGCCAAGAUGGUACCCACACUACCUGCAGGC
rnacentral:tRNA from 1 species